ACGGGGCACUAUCACAAGACCUGCUCACCUGAUGCCAAACAGCACGGUUAGAAGUAAAGGAAUCAUGCCUGUGCCCAAGAAAGCAGGAAGGAAAAACAGCAGCGCUGCAGAAGAAAAGCUGCCGCCAUAUGAGCCCAAUGUCCCUGAACCAACCACCAGGGCUGACUUCAUGAAAUGUAAGCCUUUUUAUGUUCAGGAAAUACGUUUUUUUUUUUUUUUUUUAAUUUAACAGUUUUGUCGCUAACUAUUGCCAACUAAUGGCCUCACAAUAUUAAUUAGAACUAUUAGCUAAGUAGUGCCCUAGAAUGUGGAGUCUUUAGUCUGCCCAGAUAAAUGUAAUAAAUUCAUUAAGUCUUAAUAAAAUGAAAUACAUUAAAACUAUUUAGAAAGUAAAAAUGGAAAUUAAGUUUUAAGGCCACAGUUAAUAUAAAGAUAAGUGAAACAAUUUGCAGAUAUGCAGAAAUGGAAUAUAAAAUUAAU
rnacentral:lncRNA from 15 species